AGUAUCAGCCAGGGGCAACAUGAAAGAAAAGCUCUGAACCUUUGGUAAUGAAGGUUGUUUGACUGACAUUUCACUGCAAGGAAUGCUGCACAGGUGUUUUCAAAUCCAGGCUACCUCUGGUUUGAGGGGCUGCUUCUUUAUUACAGCACGUUGGGAUCAGGGAUUUCCACAAGAGUACAGGAGUGGCCAGCCAAUAGGAAAGAGUAGCCAGCUGGAGGGGGGGUCCGGGGCCACCGAGGAAAAUGAUGCCUGCAAAAGCGGAAAUUUGGUGGCCUCACCCAACCAAUAUGUAGAGCCAUCAUGAACAGACAAACAUGAAAAGCCUCUGGAAAAUCAGGCCAGUCUGUUGCAAUAUGUAUUCGGUGACGACUUGUGUACAUUGAAUUGUGUUUAACGACAUCUGACAGGCUGCUGCGUUGGUGAUCACUGAUAACCUUUUACCCGCUGACCUCUGACCUUGGCCGCAGCUGACAAUGUUUAUAUGCUUUCACAGAUUUUACCAUACAAAUAAUACGGAAAGAGUUCUCCAAAAAGGCUCUCUUUGAUUUAAUCCCCUAUUCUUCCCAGAAGCGCCACAAUUGAACCUCUGUUGUGACCAUCUAAAGCUCUGGUGAGAAAUUCUGAAUCCCGCUCAACUGCUUAAAACCGUGGCCCUCUUCCAAGACGCCUUACCCAGCCACCUUAAAGCUGAUGCAUUUUUUGCAUUUCUGAACGACAACUCUCUCAACACAAAGCACCAACAGGAUUGUUUUGCUUUGUGGCUUGAAGGAGGGAGAGCUGUAGGUUUUCGUCAAGUCUGCUGUGCCUGCUUGUUUUCAUGUUGGAAUUACUGGACUUUCAAGAUUAACACUUAAUAUGUUACGCAACAGAGGUGGAAUUCAGACGUUCAAGAGAACAAUCUAAACACACCAGUUCACCGAGCUCCUGCUUGCAGCUACAACAUUCAGUUUCAGCUGCUUGCAUUUUCAAAAUUAGCUGUUAGUUUAGAGGAAAAUUCAUGAUUGAAAACUGUUAUAUUGUUAUAGUUUUAACUUUCUGGUCAUGCUAAUUAACACAUUAGCACAUCUGUAAUUGAGAUAAUAGUGUCCUAUAGAGGGGGUCAGUUAGAGCGCAGACAUACAUGUCACCUAUGAAGAAAUUACCGGAUUCUUGUGACUUGGGCCAAAACAGUGGCUUAUGACAUAAGAGGGCUAAAGCUGUACUUGGCAGACUUACUCCUCGCUCCUUUUUGUUGUAAACAAAAGCCAAGUCUCCGCUGUAUUGUCUCUGCAUGGUCAGAUGACUGGCUGGACGUUUGAACAGACUCAUUUUUUAAUACCAAUUAUUACACCAGUUGGAUUAGCUUCAUUUUUUUUCUCAAAACUGGGUUGACCAGCAAGAGUGAGCUAGAUUUUAAAUUAUAGAACCAAAACAAUUCCCAGCCCCUUCCUUCAGGCCUCCCUCCCAAGACACUCCCCCAAAACACAUAAAUGCACACUGCCUGACUGCAGCAACAGCACCAGAGCUUCUGGACCAGCGGGCUGAAAGAUGUGUGUAAACUGUGAGUUUUCGGGAUUUCACAAGCUAUCUCUGCAUCUUUCGUCUGAUAAAUUCAAAAAUUACAAAACUUUGUUUAAUGCCUGGUCCUGAAAUUGCCGCUCACUGCGAUUGGUGUGUGCUUUGUGCUUAACAUCACUGGGUUAGCUCAUUAAACCUCAGGUUGGUACAACUGUAAAAACCAGCAAAAGACUGCUAAAGUUUUUGGGUAUCCAACCCAAAAAAAUCCAUUUCCUCCCUUAAGAGCCAGUCCUCCAAAACACAUGAAUAUUCACUGCUGGAGUACAAGGACUGCCCACCAGUUCCUUCUUUUGGUUAGUUGGGAGACGUAUGAGUGGCUAGUUUGCUACGUUCAACUUGCUCUCUCAGCUCUUUAGACCAAUAAUUUCAUAAAUACACGACUCCUUUGAAUGCUGAAAUGCCACAGUCAUGUAAACACAAGCAAAAUACCUGUCUGAAAAAGACAGUGACACUGGAUGUGUGCUUUGUGCCAACAUUAGGUGCCGAAGAAGGCUGUUCUGCUGACACAGCUAUGUUCGGAGCAGAGACUGUGUUUUUUGUGUUAACAUAUGCCGCAACAGGAGUGUGUUCCUGCUGCAGCGGCCUCUUAUUGGGCUCAGGAGCUCAGCAUGCUCUUUGGUACUUGGUUAGAGGUUUAACGUCUGUCACUGUUGCUGCUGCUCAGUCGUUCUUUUGCUCAGGGGCUGUGUGCUUAGUGCUACUGAGUUAGCUAGCUGUAGAAGAGCAGGCUCAGUGGCUGAGUACUGCGAACUCAGCUCAUCGUUGUCUUCAGUAAACAUACCCAUACUUCAUGCCUCACUGUCAUGUAAGAAAACACUAAUCAUUAUCAUGAUGAAUGUAAACAACCAACAUGGCUAUUGUUAGUACAGAUUAGCAAUGAGGAAAUCUAGGCUGCACUUUCUCUCCCAUUCUUGCGCUGAUGGCUUCCGCAACAUGUCCACCGCGCCACAUGCUGGUAAACGUCCUGAUGAGAAGCUACAUCUGAUCUACAAGAGGCGUUGACGAACAUGUUGUGAUAUGCGCACACCUGGAAAACAUUUUUUAACGUUGAAAUACAAUCUCACUAUAGAAUACAAGGCAUAAUCACAGCAUUUUUCUAAGUGUGCACCCUGAAAGUUGGCAAGAACAGAAUGAUGAUUCAUUGUUUUAAAUGUUCCUGCAUAUCAGUUGCUGUAAUUCAUCUUAGUUAAAAGAGCAGGUUGGAGUGACGACCAUGUUCACGUGAUAACACUCGGGCAUUGUUUCUGUAUUUGUUUACUCUAAGUCUGCUAAUCUCUUAUUUCACUAACACAAAGAAGGUCUUUGUCCUCAUACAUUCGUUAGAGUUUUUAAAUAACUUUGUCUGAGAUCUCUCUACACUGCCUGAUGGUGCUAAAUGGUCCGUAUUAGAUAGAAUGAGGGUAAAACUGACACUUCCAUAUUGCAGAGGACCAGGAAGUCAUCUUUUGUUUUUGUAAAGACUGUGUAAAAUCUUUUUCCUUAAGCAAGAGAAACCUGCUGCACAGGAGAGAUUCAGAGUUCACCUUUUGUCACCAGUACAGAGAGUUUUUCAGGAAAUGGUGCAGUGACUGUCCAGCUUACUUGCCAAACAAUAUUUCUCAAAGUAAGGUAAGAAAAUAGUGCUUUUUUAAUCUUAAGUCAAAUAUUAACAUAUCAUGAUGCUUUUUUCAAAUCUUCCAAUAUAUUUUUCUUACAGUUGGGUGGAUUAUUGUAAGACUACCAACCGGACCAUGUGGAAGAGCUCAGAGAACAAGUGGAUUCAAACAUCUUCCUCCACUGUGCUCACUGAGUACAAACCAAAGCCCAACCAGAAUGAACCAGCUGGGUCUGAAGCAGCCCAGGACAGGGACUUAAUGCCCAUUCUCAUCCUCUCCGCCUCGCCUCAUCUAUCUUCGCAAGCUCACCUCGAGUCCAACAAGGUCUUGAUUCACUGUAACCGGCCCUGUCACUCUGCCCGGUGCCCCUGCAGAACCUCAGUUGACCAACCGGCAGGCAAGAGGCCAAACAAGGCUGUAACUCUCCGCUAAAUCGCUGACACACUCCUUUCCUUUCUUUGCUGGGCCCACAAAGGCUGCACUCCCGGUGCCACGGGGCCCCCUAAGUCCGUCCCGAUUAAGACGCCCAUGAGGUGCGUGAAGGCGGGGGGAGAGGGGGCCGGGUGAGAGCUAAAUGUGUCUAAUCCCACAGUAAUUAAACAAGCAGAAACAAAAGGAAGGAAGAAUGAAAUAUUAGACUUUAAUGUAAAUUUUCAGAGGUAAACUUUCCCAUGACCCCUUCACCAUUGUGCAUCUCUGCCUGUAACUUACAUCACCAAAAGUUAUUGGUUAAUGCAUCUAAGUUUCUGUACACCCAUUCGGUGAGCUAAGAGUUAUCACAGCCGCUGUCAGAGGAAGGCUGUGGAUGGAGGACCUGUUGGCGUUUAACACAUGAGGUCAGGUCGCCACUAUUACACACAGGGUUCAAGGUUAAAAGUUCAUCAAGAUGUGUCACACACACCAAGUAUUUAACACAAUGUGCAGUGAAAUGCACGUCCAAGAUUAUCUUGAAAGGGGUUAGAUUAAAAAAUAGUAGUCAGACGUGAAAAUGAAAAGAAGCCCAGAGAUGAAGAUAAACACAUACACUUCAAAAACCUACAUGAACAAAACCAUACACACAUUUUAGCACUAAUUGUAAUUUUAGUAACACUAAUUUUUACACUAUUUAUUGCAGCAGUCGUUUGAGCUUCCUGUUUUUUGUCGCAGCAGGAGCAAAGGCCCAAGAGUUCCUGGAAAACACAAACUCAUCUCAGGGACAAGUAAGUGAAGAAAGGAAGACAGAGCGAUGUGUGUUUAUUAUAUGAUCUACGUGUGUGCAGUAGAUCUUAAAGGGUCAUUUUUUUGUGGUAUGUUUAAACCUGGGCUCUAUAAUCCUGACUGUGAAAGUUACGUCCACUAAAGUGCUUGUUUUGCCACUGAUUCUAAGUGUGUGACAACAUUACGGAAACGAUUCCUGCAGAGAGAGAUCCUUUUUUUGUCAAAUAAUAAUGUUCCUUCUGUCACCACAAACACAGGUCAGGCUCACGGAGAUGCAGCACUGCUUAUCAAAGUGCAAUACUUUUGUGGCACGGUCUGAACUGCCUUGAUAAUAUUGAGUAUCGAAAGAUGUCUUGUCAUUCGAUACCAAAUUUCAGUACCUAAGGACUUAAUCUCAUCAGUGUCAGUGAGUUGAAAGGCAUGCAGCAUACUUGUUGUGCCAAGAUCUAAUUGUGCUGGUGGCAGGUUCACUUGAAGCUUGCUGGAAAAACACCAGGUUACGCCCAGAAUAUGUGUAAUAUGAUCCUUAGUUAAACAGACCUGUAUUGCUGCUGGUACUAAAUUCUUUUAAUGAUGCCCUAUGGAGAGGUCUCGCUCUUAAAUCCUGUGAAGUCAGUGGUUACAGUCGUUGCCUCAUCUAGUUUGUGAAGUUAUUAGUUAAUGUGACUCAGUUUUCCACCGACAUCUUCCUGCAACAACUCACCCUUUCGUGAGAUUUCAGAGCAAGACUUCCACUGGAACAACCAGACUUUUGUUUUCCGGUUACAAAAAAUGAGUGGAGCUAACUCUGGCAGUCGUAGUUGCCCCAAAAGAUCUCAUUGCAGUGAUGCAGAUGCGAGUUGAGGCGAUCUGCAGGACCAAUUCUAAAACUUUUGGUAAGUAUGAAUCAUUUACAUGCUGAUAUAGAGCCCAGCUUUACAAAUGCCAUUUAGAUUUCCAUGCCGGCGAUGUGAUAUUAGAUCAGUAUCAUAAUUCCCCUGCUUUAAUGUGUGAUCAAGGAGUUAAAACUUGCACAUUGUCCCUCAUAAAAAAAAGUGAAAUGAGCACAUUGUGAGCUCAACCAGGGAGCCCACCUCCCUCUCUCCUCAUCAUUAUGUCAAAUUAGGGAAAUGUCACUCCCACCGCCUCCACAACCGUGCAAAAUAGAAAAACAGAUGUCACAUGGCAUUAGCCCUGUGCGGCAGUGUUUGCUGAAAUUCACUGGAGCAUCUCUGAGGUCUCCAGUCGGAGCCAAAUGAGGUAAGAGAGGACUGUAGCCAGUGAGAGGAAAAGCCAGUGAGCUGUUUUCUUGUGAAAUCCUUUUUUGACCCAUAGGUGUGUCAUUACUGCUCCUAACACAAGGUCAUUUUACCAUAAACACCUCUUACAGGCUCCAAAGGACGCUGUGUUUGAUCAUCAUCUCUCCGCUACUGACAUAUCAACUUCUGACAAGACAUCUGGCAGCAUCGAUGUGGGAAGAAUUCUUCUCACUCAGAAUACAAUAUACAAAUGAGUUUCACAAUUAAUACCAUGUGAAUGUGGGUAAACUAAGUUUUUCCUUUUGUUUUUGGUGUCAAGGCUCAGUGUUGUUGUCAUGUUAACAAAAUAUUCAGGCUUUGAAGUGUUGAACUGGAAUAAUAAAACAGAUGAUUUGUCAUUCUUUUAAA